AUUGAACGCUGGCGGCAUGCCUUACACAUGCAAGUCGAACGGCAGCACGGGUGCUUGCACCUGGUGGCGAGUGGCGAACGGGUGAGUAAUACAUCGGAACGUACCUUAUCGUGGGGGAUAACGCAGCGAAAGUUGCGCUAAUACCGCAUACGCCCUGAGGGGGAAAGCGGGGGACCGUAAGGCCUCGCGCGAUUAGAGCGGCCGAUGUCUGAUUAGCUUGUUGGUGAGGUAAAAGCUCACCAAGGCGAUGAUCAGUAGCUGGUCUGAGAGGACGAUCAGCCCCACUGGGACUGAGACACGGCCCAGACUCCUACGGGAGGCAGCAGUGGGGAAUUUUGGACAAUGGGGGCAACCCUGAUCCAGCAAUGCCGCGUGAGUGAAGAAGGCCUUCGGGUUGUAAAGCUCUUUUGUCAGGGAGGAAACAGCAGCUCUAACACAGUCUGCGAAUGACGGUACCUGAAGAAUAAGCACCGGCUAACUACGUGCCAGCCGCCGCAGUAA
rnacentral:rRNA from 1 species